GAGGAAUAAGCAUCGGCUAACUCCGUGCCAGCAGCCGCGGUAAUACGGGGGAUGCAAGCGUUAUCCGGAAUCAUUGGGCGUAAAGCGCCUGUAGGUUGUUUAAUAAGUCUGUUGUUAAAGACUAGGGCUCAACCCUAGAAAAGCAAUGGAAACUACUAGACUAGAGUAUGGCAGGGGCAGAGGGAAUUUCUAGUGUAGCGGUGAAAUGCGUAGAUAUUAGAAAGAACACCGGUGGCGAAAGCGCUCUGCUGGACCAUUACUGACACUCAGAGGCGAAAGCUAGGGUAGCAAAAGGGAUUAGAUACCCCUGUAGUCCUAGCCGUAAACGAUGGAUACUAGAUGUUGUGCAUAUCGUACAGUAUCGAAGCUAACGCGUUAAGUAUCCCGCCUGGGGAGUACGCUCGCAAGGGUGAAACUCAAAGGAAUUGACGGGGGCCCGCACAAGCGGUGGAGCAUGUGGUUUAAUUCGAUGCAACGCGAAGAACCUUACCAGGGCUUGACAUACUACAGAUUCUUUUGAGAAAAAGAAGUGCCUUCGGGAAUGUAGAUACAGGUGGUGCAUGGCUGUCGUCAGCUCGUGUCGUGAGAUGUUGGGUUAAGUCCCGCAACGAGCGCAACCCUUAUUUUUAGUCACUAAUUCGUUAGGUUCUCUAGAAAGACUGCCGGUGACAAACCGGAGGAAGGUGAGGAUGACGUCAAGUCAGCAUGCCCCUUAUGUCCUGGGCUACACACGUGCUACAAUGGUUAAGACAAAGAGUCGCGAGCUCGCGAGAGUCAGCUAAUCUCAUAAACUUAGCCUAAGUUCAGAUUGUAGGCUGCAACUCGCCUGCGUGAAG
rnacentral:rRNA from 1 species